AAUCCGAGAAUUUCACCUCCAACACCGCAAUACGAAUGCCCCCGUCUGUCCCUCUUAAUCAUUACCUCAAGUUCCGAAAACCAACAAAAUAGAACCGAGGUCCUAUUCCAUUAUUCCAUGCACCAUUAUUCGGGCGGACAACGCCUGCUUGGAACACUCUAAUUUUUUCAAAGUAAACGUCCUGGCCGUCGCCGGCACUGCAGUGAAGAGCACCGACGAGCGUCCAGAGGGUGAGAGACCGGGAAAGACGCACGUCGAUCCGCACCCGAAGGCCGACCCAUCCGUGCGACGUCGAGCAGUGACCGCCGCGAGGCGGACCGCUCGCCCGGAUCCGAGAUCCAACUACGAGCUUUUUAACUGCAACAACUUUAAUAUACGCUAUUGGAGCUGGAAUUACCGC
rnacentral:misc_RNA from 1 species